GAUGAACGCUGGCGGCGUGCCUAAUACAUGCAAGUCGAGCGAACAGAUGAGGAGCUUGCUCCUCUGACGUUAGCGGCGGACGGGUGAGUAACACGUGGAUAACCUACCUAUAAGACUGGGAUAACUUCGGGAAACCGGAGCUAAUACCGGAUAAUAUAUUGAACCGCAUGGUUCAAUAGUGAAAGACGGCUUUGCUGUCACUUAUAGAUGGAUCCGCGCCGCAUUAGCUAGUUGGUAAGGUAACGGCUUACCAAGGCAACGAUGCGUAGCCGACCUGAGAGGGUGAUCGGCCACACUGGAACUGAGACACGGUCCAGACUCCUACGGGAGGCAGCAGUAGGGAAUCUUCCGCAAUGGGCGAAAGCCUGACGGAGCAACGCCGCGUGAGUGAUGAAGGUCUUCGGAUCGUAAAACUCUGUUAUUAGGGAAGAACAAAUGUGUAAGUAACUAUGCACGUCUUGACGGUACCUAAUCAGAAAGCCACGGCUAACUACGUG
rnacentral:rRNA from 1 species